rnacentral:misc_RNA from 1 species
UUAAGUUCAGCGGGUAGUCCUACCUGAUUUGAGGUCAAAUUUUCAAAAGAUUGUCUUUGCAGACGGUUAGAAGCAAGUCUAAGCUCAAUCCAUGGCGUAGAUAGUUAUCACACCAAUAGAUGGAACUCAGUUUGAACUCGCUAAUUCAUUUAAGGGGAGCAGUUCUACAAUGAAGCAUUCUGCACAAACCCCCACAUCCA